rnacentral:tRNA from 1 species
GUUAGAAUACCGGCCUGUCACGCCGGGGGUCGCGGGUUCGAGUCCCGUCCACUCCGCCA